rnacentral:lncRNA from 1 species
UGGCGUCACAAGAUUUGAUCUUACGGGGGCGUGUUGAAGAUAAGAUCAAAUUGUUAGUUAGUUUUUUAGUUAGAUUUGUUAUGAGGAAUUUUGUUAAUCAGUUUAGAUUUUUUACUAAAGUUUGGAUAUUAAUGUGGAGAAUAAUCAGUAGAUUUGCGUGUAUAUACUAAAGUGGAAGUCUGACGUGUUAGAGACUUUUAAUAAGUUCAAAACUCUUAUGGAGAAUACGAAGGGUUUAAAGAUUAAGUGUCUACAUUCAGAUAAAGAAAUGGAGUGUUUUUAGAAGAAUUUGACGAGUUUUGUAUUAAGCAUGGAAUUAAGCAGCACCUCACGAUA